rfam:Talaromyces cellulolyticus DNA, scaffold: scf_tce0_017, strain Y-94, whole genome shotgun sequence.
GGGCUUGUGGUUUAGGGGUAUAAUGUUCGCUUUGCAUGCGAAAGGUCCGGGGUUCGAUUCCCUGCGAGUCCA